CUUGGUGCUGUGGCGGGUGCGGAACUUGCCAAGGUGCAAAGACACUGCAGAAAGCCCGAGGAAGGAGGAGAAUGGGACUUUGAACCAUCAUUGCCCUGUAGGGCAAAUUGCCUGGCAGAGAGGCAUAGAGAUGCCGUCUGACCUGCUGAAUUCCUCCAUCAUUUUGUGUGCGUCACACUGGAUUUCCAGCCUCUGCAGUAUCUCUUGUGUCACUGAUUUUUCCUGCUUGCCUCUUUGUCCUGGAGACAUACACCCAGUGGCCAUUUUGUCCUGCUCAUUAAUGCAAAUAUCUAAUCAGCCAAUCAUGUGCCAGCAACUCAAUGCAUAAAAGCAUGCAGACAUGGUCAAGAUGUUCAGUUGUUGUUCAGACCAAACAUUAGAAUGGGGAAUAAGUGUGAUCUAAGUGACUUUGACUGUGGAAUGAUUGUUGGUGCCAGAUAGGGUGGUUUGAGUAUCUCAGAAACUGCUGAUCUCCUGCCAUUCUCAGCACGACAGUCUCUCGAAUUCACAGAGAAUGGUGAGAAAAACAAAAACCAUCCAGUGAGCAGCAGUCCUGUGGGAGAGAACACCUUGUUAAUGAGAGAGGUCAGAAGAGGAUGGCCAGACUGGUUCAAGCUGACAGGAAGGUGACAGUAACUCAGGUAACCAAAUGUGAUGUCUGCAGAAGCGGAUGGGCUACAGCAGCAGAAGACCACGAACGUAUACUCAGUGAUCACUCAAUUCUGUACCUGAUGAAGUGGUCACUGAGUGUAUGAGUCUUAUAGCGAUAGGAGACUACAACCAAUGACCCUCUCUACUGACAACAGAAGUGUA